rnacentral:rRNA from 1 species
GACAGAGGGUGCAAACGUUGUUCGGAAUUACUGGGCGUAAAGCGCGUGUAGGCUGCUUCGAAAGUCGGAUGUGAAAGCCCUGGGCUCAACCUAGGAAGUGCAUUCGAAACUUCGGAGCUGGAGUUCUGGAGAGGAAGGCGGAAUUCUCGGUGUAGAGGUGAAAUUCGUAGAUAUCGAGAGGAACACCGGUGGCGAAGGCGGCCUUCUGGACAGUGACUGACGCUGAGACGCGAAAGCCAGGGGAGCGAACGGG